GACGAACGCUGGCGGCGUGCUUAACACAUGCAAGUCGAGCGGUAAGGCCCUUUCGGGGGUACACGAGCGGCGAACGGGUGAGUAACACGUGGGUGACCUGCCCUCAGCUCUGGGAUAAGCCUGGGAAACCGGGUCUAAUACCGGAUAUGACCCCAUGACGCAUGUUGUGGGGUGGAAAGCCUUGUGCGGCUGAGGAUGGGCCCGCGGCCUAUCAGCUUGUUGGUGGGGUGAUGGCCACCAAGGCGACGACGGGUAGCCGGCCUGAGAGGGCGACCGGCCACACUGGGACUGAGACACGGCCCAGACUCCUACGGGAGGCAGCAGUGGGGAAUCUUGCGCAAUGGGCGAAAGCCUGACGCAGCGACGCCGCGUGAGGGAUGACGGCCUCGG
rnacentral:rRNA from 1 species